ensembl:lncRNA
CUUCUCUUUACUUCUGCUCAGCUGUAAAACUACCAUGUGGUCCUUGAUGCAGCCAGGCAGAGACGUGACAGACUGGUCAGCUGGACGUAAGGAAAAGCUGAGUCGCUCCCUCUCCCUCUCACUAAGUGGAUUUAACCCAUCAGCGAAUGGGUGAGGAGACGAGGGAUAAAAAUGCCGUGGAAACCUGGCUGAGCUAAUUCCAGCCCACCUUGGGGUUGGAGCUGACAGUGACACUGCAUGAACUUAUUGCAGUGACUGAAAGGUGAAAGAAGUAUCCUGUGCUUUCAGUCGAGUACAAGUAGCAACACUGUAACAUGAUCAAUUACCAAUCAAAGUCUUGUCUUCAGCAUGUUAAUUAUAUUAAACUGUGCCAGUAUUAGCUAGUAUCAACUCACUGUUGUAUUAACGAAUUAACAAACUACCUUUCCAGGAAGGAUGAUAGAUGUAAGGUUAGGAAAUAAUUUUAGAUAGUGGAUAUCUCCUCUGUGGAGUUCCUGAGGUGUGAUGAGGCUCUUGAAAUCCCUGAAAACUUGGCACCACAUCUCAAAGGUGCCCUGUGGAGGUUUUAUGUAAGUAAACAGAAGUUAUAUUAACAUUCAGCAUUAGCUGCCAAAUGGCACUGUUUGUAUCUACGAGGUGUAUAUUAAGUGUGUUUAAUACAUGCCUCCUUCAUAAUGUACUCAUAAAGCUGAAUUUGGGGAAUAUUACAAAGCCUGCAUUGUUAACUUGCCAGCAGUCCAGUUCUAAACUGCCUAUAGCUGUUUCGCUCGUUGACUUUCAGCUGUCAGCUCUGGUUUCCCACUGUUUUGCAUUUACAUUGUUAUCUUCUCCAAGGAGGUAGCAUUUGCAUGCAUGCAUAUCAUUCUGUCUGUAACGAUAACUCAAAUAAACUUACAUUAAUUCUGAUAAAAGCUUUUUAUGGCUGUAAGGUUAACAAGUCUUUACAAACUUGCCUUUUAUCGACCAAGUCUUUAAGGUCAACUUAAGGAUUUAUUGGUCAAACUGGGACAAAAAGCCAUAAAACUGUUAUAGUUAGGUGGCAUGAAUUGUCAACAUAUAAAAGUACUGUGUAAAGAUUUAAAAUUUCAUGUUACAUUUGACCUCUGACCUCUCCUUCAAGGUCAAUAGAUUGAGCUAAAACUGCUAAAACUCUCUUUCUUACUGCCGUUGUUUGUAUUGACCACAUGUAAGCAUAUAGACAAUGAUUUCUGAGCUUUCUAAAUAUCACGUUACGUUGGACCUCUGAC